UGGUAUAACUGUCGCUGCAUUUAUUCAAACGGACAAUUUGCAAUAAAUAUUAUACCCAGAACAACAGAACACUCCACCAUAUGAGGAAACAUUCUCAAGAAAAGAAAGGAAACUUCAAUGAAAGAAAAUCAUUCCUCUGUGAUUCAAAACACAUAGAAUUCUUAGAUCUUAACCACAGAAGUAUAACGUUGGAAGAAAUCAUUCAUGAGCAUUGAUUAGGAGAUGAGCACCCAUUGAGACAUACUCAGCAUCAAUAUAAACUUAAUUCUUCUUUAAAAGAGCUAAUCAUGUGUCGAUCAACCAUGCUGAAACUAAAAGCUUUGGUUAAAUAUUAAAAACAGAAAUUUCAGUAGCUUAUAACUUGGGAAGAAACAAGAGUAAAUGUGUUAAAGUUGAAGUGGAGGUUGUAUGAAUCUCCAUUUCUCAUAUAGAAGACCAAUUAGGAUUAAAUUGGCUCAACAAAGUGUAGAUAUGCAAUAGACAUUAAAUGCAGAAAAACUGUGAAUAUCAUAUUGCCUAGCAAUUGGUAAAAUAAGGAGAAUGAAGGACACAAGUUUAAUUUGUUAAUUACCCAGCGAUAUUGUAACCUGUUUCACAGCAAAAUCACUGUUUAUCGUAUUUUGUUGACAGAAUAAAGCACUACUUAAAAGGAGAGAU
rnacentral:lncRNA from 1 species